GACCGGCGCACGGGUGCGUAACGCGUAUGUAACUUACCUUUAACUGGAGAAUAGCCCAAAGAAAUUUGGAUUAAUGCUCCAUAGUAAUAGAAUAACACAUGUUGUUUUAUUUAAAGCUCCGGCGGUUAGAGAUAGACAUGCGUCCCAUUAGCUAGUUGGUGAGGUAACGGCUCACCAAGGCUACGAUGGGUAGGGGGCCUGAGAGGGUGAACCCCCACACUGGUACUGAGACACGGACCAGACUCC
rnacentral:rRNA from 1 species